UACUUAACACCAACACACACAAAAUAAUCAUAUCAUAGAAUACACUGAUAUCGAAGGAACUAGACUCAGUUCCGAAAUAUCAUCAACUCGAACCGACUUGACCACAUAGCUCAGUUGGCAGAGCAUUGGACUAGUAUCCCAAAGGUCGCGGGUUCGAUUCCCACCGUGGUCAAGCAAACUUUUCAGCUUGCCCGGUGUGGAUGCACACUCAGAGUAACAUCACAAACAUCAUAUUCACCUGAGUACAUAACACCAACACACACAAAAUAAUCA